rnacentral:tRNA from 1 species
GGGAAUGUGGCUCCGUGGUAGAGUGCUUGUCUUCCAUGCAUGAGGCCCUGGGUUCAAUUCCUCAGCACCA